GGCCGCACGCACCUGAGGCGGACGCCGGCCCGGCCCGGCCCGGCCCGCGGGGGAGGCGGCGGAGGACGACGACGACGAGGCCCGCGCCCGGACAGGGACCAGGGACCAGGGACCAGGGGCCGGGGCGACCCCCGCGGAGCGGCGGCGGCGGCGGCGGACGAGGAUGAGGACCAGGACGAGGAGGAAGACGCGGGGACGACGAGCCCGCCGCCGAGGGGCCGCCCCCGCGGGAAGCCUCACUGAAAUGACCCUGAGGGGCCGAAGCCCCGCCGCCCCGGGGCUCGCGCGCGGGCCGCACAGCAGCGCCGUCCGCACCAGAGCGAGCAAGCAGGGGAAGGGCAGGAGGAGAGGGAGAGAGAAAAUUUGAAGCAGGCUCCACACUCAGUGUGGAGCUCAACAUGGGCCUCGAUCUCACAAUCCUGAGAUUGUAACCUGAGUCGAAAUUGAGAGUCAGAUGCUUAACCGACUGAGCCACCCAGGCAUCCCUGAAAAUUCUUUUAUAUUCCUUCCUUCAAGACAUAGAACCUAAUGCCCUUCUCCCUUUGAGUGUGAGCUGGACUUCGUGACUCACUUCUAACCAACAGUAUAAAGCUGAAGUGAUGGUGUGGGACUUCAGAAACGGUCCGCUUGAUCCCUUCCUUUUGGGUCACUCUACAAGGAAGCCAACUGCCAUGUCAUGAGUACACUCAGGUAACUGUGGAGAGGCCCUUUAGGCAAGAAACAACGGUAUCUUGCCGACAGCCUUACAUCUGAGCUAAUUAGAAGACCGGCCCGUCAGCCCUAACCAAGCUUUCAGAGGACUGCAGCUUCAGGAAACACCCUGAGCUACAGCCAGCAAGUAAGCUACUCCCCAAUCCUUAACCAUAAAAACUACCAUAAAUGACUGCUGCUUUAAGCUGCUAAAUUUGGGGUAAUUUGUUUGCAAAGGAAAAUUAAUACAGAAGGAAGGCAUUUAAACUCUUGUUACAUUUCACAGCUUAGGCUUUUAAAAAAGGGUAAAGUUUAUAAAUAACUUUAACUUUUAACUACAGAAUCCUGAGCAGUUCUUCCCAUUUCUUAAUUCUUUAUAGUCUGGGCAUCAACUCUUAACCUCCAACCUCUCCAUUUUAAAAAUAAGUCUUUAUAAUAUAAUCAUUAUCAUUACAGUCUAAUAUAACCAAAAAAAAAAUAGAUUCCUUUGGCUUUUUGAUUUUACGGUCCCAUAGUAACCAAAAUGGAAAACAUUCUUGAGAGAGAUAUAGAUAUAUAAUUGUUUCCAGUACCAUAUAAGUUUCAGAUGUUUUUAUUUUUAGAUUACCUUGAUGAUUUCAUUUGUGCUUUGCAUUUAACUAGUAUAAAGAAUCAUAAAAUGUUACAGAUUGAAAAAAUCCUAGAGGAAACAUCACCUAGAAUUUUUCAAAAAAUAAAGAACCUGAAUAUCAUGAUCUCUCUUCCUCA
rnacentral:lncRNA from 1 species